rnacentral:rRNA from 1 species
GACGAAGGUGACAAGCGUUGUUCGGUAUCACUGGGCUUAAAGCGUGUGUAGGCGGAAUGGUAAGCGUCAUGUGAAAUCCCCCGGCUUAACCGGGGAACUGCUUGACGAACUGCUGUUCUUGAGGCAAGUAGGGGUGCACGGAACUCUUGGUGGAGCGGUGAAAUGCGUAGAUAUCAAGAGGAACGCCGGUGGAGAAAUCGGUGCACUGGGCUUGUCCUGACGCUGAGACACGAAAGCGUGGGGAGCGAACGGGAUUAGAUACCCCCGUA